AUAGCAACUGCCUGGUAGGAAAGAGGGAAACAUCACUAGAGCACUGCAGGAGGCUGCAGGCCAGGCCAAUCGGAAGGGGACAGCGCAUACAGGACAGCAUGGCAAUGGAUAGAGGAUCAGGAGACAAGGGAAAGGCAAUGCAUGGGGCACUCACUGGCAAAGCCAUAAAAGCAGGGUUGAAGCCUUCUUUAUUAUUAACAACGCUACCAGCAAAUUGCAACUUAAACAUCCUAAAUAAUCUCUUCACGGAGACAAGCAAACAUUUACGUCCACAUCUUGUCCAGGGGCUUUUGAAAUAGAAAGCAAAAAACAAAGAAGCAAAAAGCCACCGUGGGCAAACAGAUGCUGUGUGAAGGCAGAUCGAUUGCUGCUCCUACAACAGCCAGAGCAGCAACCAGCCCUUGUGAACUCAGCUGUGGUGGUAUUGCUGGGAUGCAGACAGGUGACAUUAUUUCUUCAGCAUGAUUUGGGCAGCCCCAGAGAUACUGUUCCCUGCCACAAUCAGAUCAGGCUGCCCCUCCAGAAAGUCUGGCACACAGAGCAAAUAUUUACUAACUUACAGUAACACAUGACCUAUCCGUGAAGUGAGGGGGGAUGAACACGCACAGAAUUAUUUAAGUAAUAUUGGUGAAUCCAGAUUUCAGUUAGAGGGAAUUCACACUAGACCAACUAAAUAGUAUGUCAAUUCCCUCUAAUUAUAUUCCUGUAACCUGCCCAGUAAUUAUACUUAACGUGUCUAAAUCAAACUGGCACAUUACCUGAGAAAUAAUUGGAUUUCUGUGCAACUGGUUAAUGAUUCUGAAAGGUACCCUUGGAGAUCAACAUUCUCAGUGUGUUCAGGCCUGACACUAGGCCCCAGUGUGCUCUGGAUGUAGAUCUCUGGCUACCUCGGCCCUGAUAAGUUAAAUGUGCCAGGUCUCUGGUGCUGAGACCAACUGGCAUGGGAGAACUCAUAGCCAUUAUUAUAAACUUUCUUAGCUUCUAAAACCGGGUGACUGCUUCCAAACUUUCUACUGGAAACAAUCCCUGGCCCUUGCAGAAUGUCAGAUUUGGGCCUGGGAGUUGCUCAGGGGAGCACUGGUUGGCCUGCCUUCAGCAGAGCCAGGGCCCUUCUUGGAGCUCCUGUACCCACAGCAGCUCCUUGGCACUGUUUGUUUGAGGCUACAUCAACACUUGCAGAGAAUACCUUCAGGCCUCACUGUCAAGAAUAACAUUCCCCAUUCUGUAGAGAUCCUUUGGAGGUCUUUAGUGAGGCUGCAGUAGCAGGAUGAUUUGCUAAAGCUGUCCCAUGCAUAUAUUUGAGUCCUCCAGAGGCAGAUGAGGGUUUACCCGACCCAAGAAGCAGCCAUUAGAUUACUGGGGACUAGCACAAGACAUCCCAAACCACACAAGCCAUUGUACUUCUCACUUCCUCUAGUCAAGUAAACACUGUGAAAGCAGUCUCCAAGCAGCGAGUGCAGCACACCCUGUUUAAUUGGAGCCUCAUAAUACUGGUCUGUAUUUCCUUGGUUUCUCAGAGGCAGAAUUUCAAAAUAGCACCUUGCCUUGUGAAUCAACCCCAUAACACCAGUGAGCAUUGAAACCAUUAGAUUUCAAAUGUACCAUAACGUCAGAGAGACAUAACAGCAGUAAUAGUGGCUGGAAGGGAUGACUGCAUCAUCUGUAAUUCUUCAGCAAAGGUACAAGUAAAAAAAAACAAAUCCGAUGGAGAGAUACUCACUUGGCCUGCACUUAUACCACACGAGGAGGUAUUUGCCUGUUCCAGGGCACGGAUCUAUGCCAAACAGCCGGCUAUUGACAAGGAACUGGCAGCUCCGUCUAUCCUGGCACUCGUCCAGCAUCUUCUGCAGCAGGGGAUGCACACAAACAUAAAACAGAAAAACAAAAGCACUUCAGCACCUCCCUAAAGAAUCAUCAAAUACAGGCAAGCUGAAGAACAGCACGGCAGUUCCUGUCUCCUUAACCAGGCCCAGCAAUGACAAUACGACCAGCUUAAAGCAAUGGGUACCGCAGGAGCUAUGCAGCGAAGGAGAGAACUAAAAUUUGCACUAUUUUAACAAGCAUGAUAUGUUUUCCUUCCAUGCAUGCAAAAAGGCAGCUUUGCAUUAGGCUGGCCACAGAGAUUUUGGAAGACUCUCAUGCAGUUUAAUCAUAGUAUUAGGCUGCACCAGCAGCGUGUCCCUGGAAAAACAGUGUGGAGGAGAUGGGUCAGCCCUGACAAUUAACAGCAGAGGCCCAAACAAUGCCCACACCAUUCUGCUUUGGCUUCCUCUGGAGAUUCACAGUUUCAACCACAGGUUUCAGAAGAGCUCUCUUUUUGGUUAUAUGAAAGUUUUGGCAAUAGCGGGUGUUUCAAUAAUUAGUCGUUCUGGUGGGAAUGCUGGUACAUAGGCAAGUUGUCAGUUUUUAAUAAAGCUCACUCUCCUCCCCGUAA